rnacentral:rRNA from 1 species
UACGUAGGGGGCAAGCGUUGUCCGGAAUUAUUGGGCGUAAAGAGCGCGUAGGCGGUCCGAUAAGUCGGCUGUGAAAGUCAGGGGCUCAACCCUUGGAAGCCGGCCGAUACUGUCGGACUAGAGUCCGGAAGAGGCGAGUGGAAUUCCUGGUGUAGCGGUGAAAUGCGCAGAUAUCAGGAAGAACACCCGUGGCGAAGGCGGCUCUCUGGGACGGUACUGACGCUGAGACGCGAAAGCGUGGGGAGCAAACAGG